ACUCACUUAACAGAAAUUUGGGGCUCAAUUGUGAUUGUAAGUCGAGGACUACCUGUAUUGUAUAAAAACUGUCCUGCCCUAAAAAAAAAACAACAACCCAGCUAUGUGUCUCAUUCAUAAAGAAGACAUAGGACUGGGCUCCAUAACAUGGGACCAUCCUAUCUGAUGCAUCACCAGUUACCAUCAGCCCAUCCCAUUAGAUCUGGCAGAGAAGGCAUAUUGUGGGAACAUCAGCCAGGAACAUAACAUUUCGGAGCAGAAGGGAGAGACAUCUCUGCCAUGGUGCUGGCUUUAUUGAACAUCCUCUCCCACCCUCUUCUCAAAAUUAGAUUAGCCUUUGAUAUCCUGGAACAUGCUCAAAACCUGGUUAUGUCAUCAGAGCUGGGAACUAGAGCCUUCCUUGGAAGGGCCCAUUGCUGAGGUAGCUAUUCAUAUUCUUUCUUUGUCUAGGGCAGAGGACUCCAAAAUUGGCAAGUUUAAGCAUUGUGGACUUCAACUCCCAGAAUUCCUGAGCUAACAUGACUGGAGGAGGGAUUCUGGGAGUUGAAGUCCACAAGUCUUAAAUUUGCCAAGUUUGGAGACCCUUGAUCCAGUGGCUUGAAAGGUUCCCGUCUCCAACACAUUUCUGAAAUGCUUUCUUGGUCUCUAGGAAGUUCUUAAAACACUUGGCAAAACUUUUGCAGAAUGUUUUGAUAUGAAAUUCAGAAGUGUCUUUUCAGCUUUAUUGAUGGGCCUUGUAAACUCAAUGUGAUUCCUACAUCAUAUGCUUGUGGUUGUAUUUAGAAUCAUUACUUGUGAUCUUUAGUAGUAAUCAUUCAGGGAAGUUUUCCUGACACACAAUUUAAAAAUUUCUAGCUCAUGCCACUGAUUUUCAGGUGUCUUCAAAAUCCCCCCUGAUUAACUUGGGAAUCUGUAGUUGUAUAUUAAUUAUAACUCUGCUAACAUGAAAAUAUUUGCACUGUGUUUUUGAUACAGCUCAUAGAGAUAAAAUGGAUCCAUAGCAAAAGUAUGUUAAUAUGGGGAUUCUGCUUUAUAGAUUAAAUAAAGAUGUUUGACAAAAGA